rnacentral:rRNA from 1 species
AACGAACGCUGGCGGCGUGGAUAAGACAUGCAAGUCGGACGGGAUUACUUUUGGUAGCAAUACCGAAAGUGAUCCAGUGGCGAACGGGUGCGUAACACGUGGGCAAUCUACCGAGAAGUGGGGGAUAGCUCGCCGAAAGGCGAAUUAAUACCGCAUGUGAUCAGAGGCGACAUCGCUUCGAAAUCAAAGGUGGCGCAAGCUACCGCUUUUUGAGGAGCCCGCGGCCUAUCAGCUUGUUGGUGAGGUAACGGCUCACCAAGGCAUUGACGGGUAGCUGGUCUGAGAGGACGACCAGUCACACUGGGACUGAGACACGGCCCAGACACCUACGGGUGGCAGCAGUCGAGAAUUUUUCUCAAUGGGGGAAACCCUGAAGGAGCGACGCCGCGUGGAGGAUGAAGGUCUUCGGAUUGUAAACUCCUGUCAUUUGGGAACAAGGUGUGCGCGUUCACUGCGCGCGCAUUGAUAGUACCAGAAGAGGAAGAGACGGCUAACUCUGUGCCAGCCGCCGCAGUAAUAC